UACAGAGGGUGCAAGCGUUAAUCGGAAUCACUGGGCUUAAAGCGUUCGUAGGCGGGCUUGCAGGCGCGUUGUGAAAGCCCCCGGCUCAACCGGGGAACUGCUUCGCGAAUCGCAAGUCUUGAGUCAAGUAGGGGCGGUCGGAACGAUAGGUGGAGCGGUGAAAUGCGUAGAUAUCUAUCGGAACGCCAAAGGUGAAGACAGGCCGCUGGGCUUGUACUGACGCUGAGGAACGAAAGCGUGGGGAGCAAACGGG
rnacentral:rRNA from 1 species